GAACCGGGAACGGGAACAGGAAUGGGAACCGGGUCAGAACCAGGAACGGGAACAGGUCAGAACCGGGCAGAACCGGGAAUGGGAAUGGGGGCAGAACCGGGACCAAAACCGGGAACGGGGGCAGAACUGGAACAGAACCGGGACAGAACUGGGAACGGGAAUGGGAAUGGGUCAGAACCGGGACCAGAACUGGGCCAGAACCAGGAAUGGGAACGGGGGCAGAACAGGGACCAGAGCUGGGAACAGGGUCAGAACCAGAACCAGGGUCAGAACAGAACCGGGACCAGGAAUGGGGUCAGAACCAGGACCAGAACUGGGGACAGAACAGGGACCAGAACUGGGACUGGAGUCAGAACAGAACUGGGACCAGGACCGGGGUCAGAACAGAACCAGGAACGAGACCGGGGUCAGAACCAGAACCGGGAACAGGGGCAGAACCAGGACCAGAACAGGGAAUGGGGUCAGAACCAGGACCAGAACUGGGGGCAGAACCGGGACCAGACAGAAUCAGGAUCAGAACUGGGGUCAGACAGAACCAGGAUCAGGAUCAGAACCAGGACCAGAACUGGGACCGGGACCGGGGUCAGAACUGCGACCAGAACCAGGAGUGGGGGCAGAACCGGGACCAGAAGCAGGAACGGGGUCAGAACAGGGACUGGGGUCAGAACAGAACCAGGACCAGAACCAGGCAGAACCGGGGUCAGAACAGAACCAGGACCAGACAGAACCAGGGUCAGAACCGGGACCACAACCAGGGUCAGAACAGAAUCUGGGUCAGAACAGAACCAGGAUCAGGGGUAGAACAGAACCAGGACCAGAACCAGGACUAGGACUAGAACCGGGCUCACACAGAACUGGGACUGAGGUCAGAACCGGGACCAGAGAGAACCAGGGUCAGACAGAACCGGGACCAGGACUGGGGUCAGAACAGAACCAGGGUCAGACAGAAUUGGAACAGGCACCGGGGUCAGAACCAGGAUCAAAACUGGGGUCAGACAGAACUGGAACCAGGCACAACCGGGGUCAGACAG
rnacentral:lncRNA from 1 species